AGACACAGGACUUCUCUACCUGCUCUUAGCCAAUGUUUGAAGAUAACGUGGUGGCUAAUAUCAUUUAAAAGAGGACAUGCAAGUUUCAUUAGGUUAAGUAACUGGCCCAGGGUCACACAGAAAUAACAACGGAUACAAAUUCCACAGUCAGGAACUCAGAAUCUUUCAUGCCACUGAAUACAAAGACCUUCUCAGUGUCCUCUUUGAAAAGUACAGAAAGUUCCAGAACCAGCUUCCUUUAAAUUUUUUUUUCCUAGUAAGUGAAUUUGGGCAGUUGUCUCCUGAGGGCUGAGAACGACCCUAUCACAAGACUUGGGCGUGGGUGACCUAGGUACAUAGAUGCAGCACAGAUGUGCAGAUACAACGUAUUCUUGCUGUGCUACAAGGUCAGAGCAGAUUGGACUACAACACCGAACAGAAGAAGCUACAGCGAGGCUCCAGUCUAAACGCACACCUAUUGUGGAAAUCACCUCUGUGUCAAAUGAACUUUUCAUCACAGCCGGCCCAGUGUCUCUUGCUUCAGUGGUAUCUGUCUUGCCCUUAGUCAUAAAAGUGUAAUAUUUGGGAGGUUCUAGAAUCUCUUUCAGAAUCCCUGUAUAAGGAUGGAUCCUUUUAUUCUGUAGAACCUCAGCAUGACGCCUGGCACACAGUAGGUUUACAAUGUGUGUUCGUAAUGAUGAUGAUCACGGGAGUGAGUGUGUCCGGUCUCACUUUUUUUUUGUGCCUCACUGGUGG
rnacentral:lncRNA from 1 species